CCAGCUGCUUGUGCUAUGUUUAUUCCUCACCAGUGCCUAUGUUUGAGUAUUAAUUGUGUAUGUUUGUGUGUGUUGGUGGUGGAGCUAAAUCCCGGAAGAUUUAGAUAAGGAGAAGAAGGUUUUAGCGGGGUACCUGUCACGUGUUCGAUGAUAUGCUCGAACUGGUGGCCAUCGUCGUUCUUGCUAAAAAUCAAGUCAGAUCAUGAGGUACGUUAAUUGAUCACGUGAUGUUGAAGACAAGGUUUGGAUUGAUCUCAAGAUAAUGCUGAUGGACGAAGCUAAAGUGGGUGAAUCGAACAAGUAUCAGGAUGAGAGAUGCUCACCAAGCGUUAGUACUUUUGUGAAUGAUUUUGUAAAGUGUUUGCAAAUAUGUGCAAAACAUAAUAACAUGUGUAGGUUUUGUGAA